UAUUCACUGGAUGGAAUCCCCUGUUUUACAUAUUGUUUUUGUCCCCUGGCUCUGUUCUUUAACAGUUCUGCUGUUUCAUGAUUUUCAGUCCAAAUAGAUUUAUGUUUUGCAAAAAUUAAUGGAAGAAAUUGGAAUUUCUGUUAAUACGACUUUAGUUUAGCCUGACUGAGAUUAGGGACAGUACUUGAUUUUGUACUGUAGGUAUAUAUGUACUUUGCUGUUUGCUCAACGAAUUAUAUCAAUAUCAAUAAGCUGACAUUUUUCAGUCCGUCUUUUCUUGUGAUCUGAAUUAUGAUGUAGGACAGCCACAAGUGAUAUUUCUGAGGGGCUGCGUCUUGAGCAAAUGAUCAUAUCCAAAAUCAUGACACACUGCCCUCUAUAUAGUCACAGCUCUCCAUCCGGCAUGGUUUUUAUCAUUCUAAUGUUGGCAAGUAAUCUUAAGACUUUUUUCCCCGAGUGAUUCGUAAGACUAAUUACCCUACACAAUUCGCAGUUUUAAUAUCUCUUAUGCACCUAAAUAAUCUGUAACUGAAAAAAUGUUCAGGUUCCCGCAGGUUUUGCCUUGAUUAACAAAUUGAAUUGAAUAUGUUUGUGCUGUAGUCAAGAGGAUCUGAUUGUCUGUUUUCUUACACAACAACCUACCCUUAAUUGUCAGAAAAAACCGAGUUUCCCUUGGUUCUGUUUGUGCUGUGUGCCUGUGUCAUCUGUUAUUCAGUGUAUUUUAUUGAGAUUUACAUCUAUUAAGCUCAUCCAAUCAGUAAAUUUGGAUUAAGAAUUACUUACUAGACUGGAGGCAGCAUUGUUUUUUCCCCUCAUGGCUUAUUCCUACUCAGAGUCAUAUUCUCUCUAAAUUAUUAGUCUAAAUCCAAGCCGAGAAUAGGUCUGGAAUAGGUCAGUAAAAUCAUGUAUUGCUGCAAUCAUAGCUUACAUAUAUGUAUGUGUGUGAUAUGCACUGCUGUCUUUUAAAUCAUGUUGCCUUGUCCUGAAGCCUUCACAUAUAUUUGGGAGGAGAUGAGUAGGUUUAUCAGAAUUUAUGUUGGCUAGACCUACCUAUAUGUGGAUCCAUACUACUCCUAGCUUCUUGUGAAUGUGCUGAUAUUUAUCCUUGUCUUCUUUCCUUUUUGUGCUCUUCUUUUUAUUACUCAAAUAAAUCUGUAAUUUAGACAGGCUAACAUAAAUAUCUCAAGCUUUUUGUGUGUUCAGAGAUUUAUUUAGAGAUGGUAAAAUAAAGAUCUUGAUGUAUCGACGGUUUGUGGUCUUGGGGCUGUUCUGUUACAGUUCAGGAUACUCAAUUUCCUCCUGCUGGUAUCAUCGUCUCCCUGUAAUGUUUUUUUUUUGAAACGGACGUCUCCCUGUAAUGUGAUGUAGCUGUAACACCCCCACUAUGGGCUGUCACCCUACAGUCGCAACCUGGGCCUGGGCUACAAGAUGGGCCAACCAUUGGAGGCUGAGUGGCACUGGGCUACAUAUGCAGUCGGGAGGGGAUCGAACUGAUUGAAACGUCUGAAUCUUCUCGUCCUCCUGCUCCCGUUCCUCACCCUCCUGCUACCUAUCUCAUCCCUCUGUUGCUGAUCCUCACCCCAAAUUCCCCUUGUAUCUCUUGAUUUGUACUCGAUAUUGGUUCGGAUCUGAGUGUCCGUCCCAUAUCCAUGUUUGGGUCAUGACAAUUUGGUAUUCAGAGCCAACAAAAAUUCACCACCCACUUCCUGCCUACCAUAUGUUCGACGAAAUGUCCAGCCAACCAGAGCUGUUCACCGGCGGCGUUCUCCGCAUCACCGUGCACCACGUGUACUACUCGGUUACUGAGGAGACACUGCAGCAGGUGUUUGCCGCGUAUGGUGUGGUGAAGGUCUCCCUGUUUCAGAGAAUCCACCAUUUGGAGGCAGUGGUUCAGCUUCGAUCAAGAGUCGGCGCGGCGCGGGCUCUCGCCUUGCAUGGCCGGUGUGUCUACGAGCACGCCUGCCUCCUUGACAUCCAGGAUGUGUCGUCGGAGUAUAACAUGCACUUGUGCUUGCUGCUGGAGCUCAAGCAGACCGCAACCGUGGCCGAGUACACGACGGCAUUCUGGGAACAAGUACAUCGUGUGCUGGAUCUCAACUCCACCAUAAGCAUCCAGUGCUUUGUACACCAGUACGUCAAGGGCUUGCACGCGGAUAUUCAAGCAGCCAUGCAGUCGCAAUUGCCGUCCAGCAUCACCAGAGCGUCGUCCCUUGCUCGGAUAAAGGAAGAGGAUAUUGUGAAGGAUGCGGCUAGGGCUGUUGAGGAGCUUGACGGCUGCAUCGGCCAUGGAGUUCAGGGCUUAACGCCUAAGGAGACCCUCACUGGCGUUUCCCCCAAGCUCGCUUCCCAUGUGGUGCGUGGUGCAGACCACGGAGUCGUCGCCAUCGACACCAGCAGCCUUGCUGCUCCGACGCUAACCACAUGCUCGACGGAUUGCCCGAAUCGCGCGCCACCGUCAACGACUUCAAAACUACAGGAUCAUUCUCGCCCUCUAGAGGCAUGUUUUCGGCAGUUGCAGCACGGGCUGAGACUUUGCCAGCCCUUGAGUUGGAGACAUUGAAGCCCAACAGAUGUUUGACAGAAUGCUCCCAUGAUGACGCCAACAAGGUGACCCAUGUGGUUGUGUUAGAUGCAUCUCCAUUGACCACCGCACAGCUCAACAACAUCCUCUGCAACACUUCACCUUGUGCUAUGCCUUGGGUGUGUGAGGAUACUGACGACGAGCAGAUUAGGAAAGGUGGUGUCAUGCAGCCACUAUGGCCACCACGGGCACCGCCAAGUACAUGGCAGUUGCGGUUCGUGGAACAUACUAUUGCAAACUCAACUGAGCUGAAACCAUGGCCAGAUCCAUGGAUGAGCAAGAGCAGUGGAAGUGGAAGCCGGGACAAGCCACCGUGGGCGCAAAACGCUGUCAGUGUUGGAAAGAGUGACAAGCUUCGGGAGCUCUAUGAGAAAAGUGGGUCAAGUUGGAGGUUAACAAAAUCUGGAACACCUGGAACCAUUGGCAGUUUCGAAGAUAUUCGUUGUGCAAACAAUGUCAUGCAAUAUUCCCCGGUUACUACUGCAUUGUUUCCUGUCUUCUGUGGAGGUCACCAUUCUUUCCCCCGACCCUGCUACAAAGAAAGAUGUUCAUUUCUUCAAAUAUCCCAGCUAUAUGUAGGGCUUAGUUGUGUGAAUAUGACAAACCAGAAGCUUGGGUUGACUGAGUUCCCUGAAGAUAGUCGAUUCACAAAUGUGGAAUCAGCCCUUGUUGCAUUACAUUGCAAGGAGUGUCUUUUUCUAGCAGAUUUUGAGAAAUCAAUAGAUUUGGAUGCUAGUAGAAAUUGCAGUAUUCUUGCGGCUGAAAGAAAGAAGGCUGAAUUUAAAUCUGGAGAUCUUGUGCAGGAUCUUGGUAGAAUAAUCAAGGGUUCUGUUGAGCCAGUUCGUGACCUCCUAUCUCAGUUUGACUAUGCUUUGGGUGCCCUUGGAGCUCUAGUAUUAUAUGAUGGGUUGCUAGCAGAUGAUACUAAUUAUGGAAAUUACACGAUUGAGAAAUACAAUUUGGACUGCUACCUGCGCCUUGCUUCUGCCGUGGUGCGAACAUUGAAUAUUGUUGAAGAAAAAACUGAUGGAAACAACAAAUUUAGUUUGUUUGCUUUCAUGAACAGAGUGUGUACUGCUAGGAUGGGACAAGGACUACUUAACAAAUGGCUAUAUGUAAACGAAGUCAAUAACAGAUUAGAUAUGGUUCAGGCUUUCACAGAAAAUCCAGAGCUUCGUCGGGGUCUUAGGCAACAACUUACAAGGAUAUCUGAUCUUGAUCGCCUAACACACACUCUCCAUAAGAAAUCAGCCAAUCAGCCUGUUGUUAAGCUCUACCAGUCCUGCUCUAGAAUCUCAUACAUCAAGGGUGUUCUUCAACAAUACAAUGGCCAAUUUUCUAGAUUCAGGACAAGGUUCCUUGGCUCUUUUGAAGAGUGGAUAACAGAGAAUCGAUAUGUUCCUUAUGUAAGACCAGACAUCACAACAUCGGAGGGAGGAGAUAUUCUUCUACAAGGUGGUUGGCAUCCAUAUAAAGUGCAAUCAGUUGAGAACUACAUGAAGCUUUCUAUGGGCAAUAUUACUCGAGCCUUUCUAGAAUUACACAUCUCUCCUUCGGGGCAACCUGAUUAUGAUCGACAUGUAGCUUCAGCGCCAGGUAUGUUCAUGCGAUCACAGUUUGGGAUAGCAGUAUUUGAGUUUUCUCCAGAUGGUUCAGUUGGCCACUUGCCCCUACAGUUCCCUCUAUUUGUUCAAACCAACAGAAUUGAGAUUUAUUCUCCUUGGAUCCAGUGCUCACCUUUUCUGUGCUGGUUUCAAUCUGCUACAAGAGCAAAUCAUGAGUGGACACCUUGUAUCACAAUGUUCUCAUGCAUUUGUAAGCAUGUGCAGAUGUUCAUAGCAGGGCUUAGUUAUGAGAUGAACCAUCAACCUCAGGCAAAAGAAAGGGUGCAGCACGACAUAGGGUUUGUGCUUGAGUCUUCUUGCCGUCUCUUACCUAUCAAUUGUCCUGGGGAUCUGUUCACUGGAGAGGCUAAAGCUUGCACUUGCCAGUUUGUUGUCAGUUACACUAGUUGUUUCAGAGGUAUCCUGUGCAUGGACAAGAACGAGAUGUCCCACUCUUCAGUUGCAGCUCCAUUUGGCAAUGAACUCCUGUUUUGUUCCUUCGAGCUGACCAUUUGCAAGCAUGUGAUAUUAUCCUAUGACCCAGGAGGGCCGACUCUUUUGCUUGAUGGGAUUGGAGGUAUUCACGAGUUCCACUUGAUCAUCAUCGGCUUGAGGGUAAGCCGAAUUUCAAGGGAGGGAGAGUGUAACACCCCCACUAUGGGCUGUCACCCUACAGUCGCAACCUGGGCCUGGGCUACAAGAUGGGCCAACCAUUGGAGGCUGAGUGGCACAUGGGCUACAUAUGCAGUCGGGAGAGCACAUGAGGAGGGGAUCGAACUGAUUGAAACGUCUGAAUCUUCUCGUCCUCCUGCUCCCGUUCCUCACCCUCCUGCUACCUAUCUCAUCCCUCUGUUGCUGAUCCUCACCCCAAAUUCCCCUUGUAUCUCUUGAUUUGUACUCGAUAUUGGUACGGAUCUGAGUGUCCGUCUCAUAUCCAUGUUUGGGUCAUGACAUGUAGCACAGUACUAUGCACUUCAGCACUAAGCCCAGAACCUAGCUAGCUUACUUGAGGGUCGGCUCUGGAUUUUGUCGAUCUUGUUUGUGUAUAAUUUGUGAGGGGCUGUAGAGAGUCAAUUAACCAGUCAAUUAAUAUGAACCUGUUUUUCUCUACGGUCCUCUGAACAUACUCGCUAUAAAAACACUAAGUACAAGAAUAUGAGGAUGCUAGGUGUUUAAGAUAUUUGAAUUUCCCUUCGGAGUGGACCUGGGAUAGUUCUGACAGAGUAUGGACUAGAAGGCGGAGGAAACAAAUAUUAGGCGGUCGAAUUGGUUGUAUCUACCAUGUAUGUCUGGUGAGCUUUUUUCCCAUCGGAUGUUACUCAUGGUAGUCACAGGUGCACUUGCUUUAGGAUGUGAGAUGUUAUAAUGGUGUCCUUUAUGGCACAAGCCCGGGGCUUAGUCAGGGAUGAUAAUGAAUGGUUCAAGAUUUUCGAAGUAGCUAUUGUAUGGGCUACUCCUUUUUAGUUACGGCAUCACUUUAUGACAAUUUUGUUGCACUAUGAAAUUACAAGGUAUUGGCCCAGCCAGGCAGAAUAUAUAUCUUCCUCUUCCCUAAUACUCCCUCCGUCCCAUAAUGUAAGACAUUUUCUGACACUAGUGUAGUGUCAAAAAACAUCUUACAUUAUGGGACGGAGGGAGUAUAAUUUUAAUUAGUUGGGAUUCUUACCGUGGUAAUCUUCCUCAUUUUGCAACAUAGGUCUUUUUACCUCUUCUAUUUUGUAUCACAUACUAUUAAAUAAUUGGAAUUCUUAUUUGUUGCAAGAGAACCUGUUGUGGACGAAGUGCAGAUGUUCAAAGUUUCAGUACAUCAGCUUCAUUUCGGUUGCAAAGUUUGCUUAAGUAACUUUUGGUUAGAAUGGUCCAAUAGUUCAUCGUCUCUGAGCGCUGCGUAAAAGAUUCAGGUUAUGGAUUUUGGUGGCUCUCUUUCUUAUUCUCGUGGCUGUUUGCUUAAUUUCUUUGGAUGCUCUCUUUACACGACUUUCAGAUUGAGCCCAUUUGCACCUGUCAAUCUUAUUCUAACCUAUAAGGAUGCUAGCCGACCCUCCUCCACGGAGCUCCCCCGGAUUGGCGCAUCCGUGGCCUUCGGAUCACCUUUGACUUUGUUUUUGACCGUUCAAGAUUUUCGAAAAUUGCUAGUAGAUGGAUAGGUGUAGGGCUGCGCAAGGCGGAGCCUCCCCCACCAGAGUGCACGAGCACGCCACCGCCACGACCCACGAGCGCGCGCACAUACCGAGGAGAGAGAGGAGGCAGAACCGGCGGCGACUCCGGCAGGUAGCGGGCGGCGCGCACCUCGUCUCCAUGCAAGGGGCGGGCAUGCCUCCGUGCGGCCUGGCGGUGGCCGACGGACUUGAAGCCGCAGCGCCUGGCGGUGUGGUCGGCGUGCUCCUCUCUGUGUCCCCAGCUCGUCGCAGAAGCAGAGGAGGCCCCGCGCGACGGUGCACCGGCGAGGCUGCACGGAGCCGGCCACCUCGAGCAGCCCCGCGAGCACCUGCAGCACGCCCGCUGCUGCAGCACUCUUGGCCGUUGCUGCGCCAGCGGGGCUGGAGGUGGCGACUCGUGCGUGGAGCAGGGGGAGGAGCGGAGGAGGCGCCUCUCGGGAUGGCGGCGACGUUCGCCGGCGACAGCGAGGCGGAGGUCUCUUUCCUCUGGUGGCUGGAGGUAGGAGGAGAGGGUUGACCCUGACUUGUGGGCUCCACACUAUACUUAACAGUCAACAAACGGUCAAAUGAUUUUUCUCCUGACGCGUGGACCCUCCUUGUCAUAAACCUGAUCAAAACUUAACGAUUCGGUAACUAGUGUUUUUUGGAACAGCCAACCAAAAUAGUUGUAGAAUUUUGAAAAAUUAAAAAAAGAGGUAGUUUUUUGUAGCACUAGCCUGUAAUGUGGUAGUUUUAUGCUAUAUACUCCUGUAUUAGCCAAGUUGUUCCAGGUCUUUCUAACUCUUUCAUGGAUAUCUUCUAUGAACCAGAGCACACUGUUCUGCGCUCCGAGCAAGCGCCACUGAUGCUACAAUAGAUCAAAGUUCUGAAAUUGUGAGCAUUCAUAUACAGUCUUUGGAUCAAGUAACAAAGGCAGCACACAUAAUUACAAGGAAGGAGACGGCCAUGGGUAGGGGUGUCUAGCUCCACCUUGACCACUUCAUCCCGCCGUCGCCAUCAUCCUCCGCGAUUUGGCUCUGGUGGGCGUGAACCACCCAAGGCAAGGUUGCCCCAUUACGAGGAAUCAGCACGUCAUCAUCGUUGCAAGCAGACGGCCGUGGCUGCGGUGAGGGCACGUGCGGCACGAAGGGCCACAACCCGGACUUCAGUACGCGAUGUUAUCUCCAUCCUCUCCUUCGUUUUCGUCAUGUUCCUACCUGUGCCUGCAAAGUGUUGCUCUUGCAUUGCAGAAUUUAUGGUAAGCUAUGCAAUUAUUUUCAAUUACUUGGAUUUAGAUUGCUUGUCCUUUCACACAGCCACGAUUCAUUCGGCGUUUUGACUUAUGAGUUGUUUUGUGAGAUUAAUUUCGUGCAGAUUACAAUUUCAAUGGACGAGGAAUGAUGUUUAGAUCAAGGUGGAGAAUAAAUGAUUCUUAGCAUUUUUCUGUUGACACAAAUAUAUAACAUGGGUCUGAUGGCAGAUUGUUUAUAAUCAUUGUAAAAAAGUAUACUUAGAAUUGCUAUAUCAAUAAUUAUUUCCUGCGAAUUAAAAAAAAUCUUCAAUGCAGUUAUGAACCUGGAAAAGGCUUACUAGCCCCUCGCUUUUAUACGACUUUAAGUUCUGAAGACACAUGCAGCGGAGCAGAUAGCGUACGAGGAUGCAUGGAAGGCCAACAACUCGGACUUGACGCCAAUUGCCUCAGUCAAGGACACUAGCACAGGUGUGUCGAUCUCGAUCCUUUCCUUCAUUAUUGUCGUCUCCAUGCCCGUGAAACCAAUAUUCCGUCUGGCCGGCGCUUUCGGUUGAUGGCAAAACGAACACAUAUCGAACCUGGCUUGCCUUGAGAUGGAUUGAAUCAGCUAACAGCGUACGUACCUAACUAGCUUUGCCUUCAGAUGGAUCAAAUCGGUGGAUUGAUUGAUCGAAUAGCAGGUGGAUUCUAUUGAUCGACUAGCUAGCAACACAUGCACACACACUGGCAUAUAACGUAUUUGCUGUUUAUACUUCUUCAACUCACGGUGAUACAACCUAGGAGCUACAUGUAUCACCUGGCUAAGUAGAUUUGGGAUUUCUACACUACUUGGACAAGCAAUCGUUGGUGAACUCUGACAAUCUUUGAGAUCUAUAGGCAACCAAAAGAGGGAACUAGCAAGCUGGUGAUUUCACCAUUUUAUCUUGAUUAAUUGUGCUAAUUUAAGUAGUUCUUAGCUAUCAUCUAACACAACUAUUACAAGAUUAAUAAUUGAUAUAGUCCAUGUUUUACCUUUCCAUUUUCGGCGAAUGGAGUGGAUUCUGAAAUCGCAUAUUUCAAUUUGUUUUUGGUCGAUCAGCUUGAGUACCAAUUCUUUUUAGUGUCCCAGUUGUUAUUUCAUAUAGGCUACCUUGCUAUGUUGCAAGGGACUAUGAGAUACUUCAUAUAGGAGGUCAAGCAUGAAAAAGGUACAAUUCUCGACUUGUCGAUAAUCAUGUUAAUCGAGCUGUCAUGAUAUUUUCCCUGCUUCAAAAUGCUCCCUGAGGUGUUAGUUAACAGUCCUCUGAAUAUUGAUCCUUUUUUACAGAAUUUGACCAUUUGUGCAGGCUUUCGUUCAUGAUGGAUCGACCUUAAAGUCUUAGCGAUUACCCUUUCCAACAUGCAACACUUGGGAUGUGGUGCUCAAUCCUGCUAUAUUUUUAGUCCAUUAAUUUUUAUGUGUUUUUCACCUCAGAGAUUUUAUUAGUUUUGGUUGGGUUCUAACUAGAGAUGCACACAUAAAUAAUUUGGUGCUGAUUUUCAUAAAAGAAACAAGGCACACACCUAGAAGGUUAUUGAUUAUAUGAUGCAACCCAUUUUAUUCAGUUGGUCAUUCUUGACACAAUUUUCUAUUGCAGGUUAUUGCAUAUAUACAGUUUUUCCAAGAGAACGGACAGAAAUGUGGUUGGGUGAGGCCCUGAUACAAAAUCUCACCUUUUGUUUGUUCCAACAAUGGCCUUUUCUUUUAUUUGCUUCUUUGAUCAAUUUGGAACCAUCCUUCUAGAUCAGAAUAACUGAAAAUUGAUGUGUAAUAUUAGGUCUGUGAUUGGAGUGUGUAAAAUGAGCUUAUUUAUUUGACUUUUGUCAUGUAAAAUGUGUAUAUUUUUUUCGUGAAUCAGGACCAAAUAUAGUUUAAGUAUUUUGAA